GCGAAAACUUUACAAUGCUGGCAACAGCGAUAAGGGAACCUCGAGUGCCAGGUUACAAAUCUGGCUGUCGAGAUGCCUAAAAAGCAUUUCAUAGCAAGGGCCGGGCAAGACCGGUGCCAGCCGCCGCGAUAACACCGGCGGCUCGAGUGGUAACCGUUAUUAUUGGGUCUAAAGGGUCUGUAGCCGGCCGGAUAAGUCUCUUGAGAAAUCUGGCAGCUUAACUGUCAGGCUUUCAGGAGAUACUGUCUGGCUCGAGGCCGGGAGAGGUGAGAGGUACUUCAGGGGUAGGGGUGAAAUCUUGUAAUCCUUGAAGGACCACCAGUGGCGAAGGCGUCUCUCCAGAACGGACCUGACGGCAAGGGACGAAAGCUAGGGGCACGAACC
rnacentral:rRNA from 1 species